rnacentral:rRNA from 1 species
UACAGAGGGUGCAAGCGUUAAUCGGAAUUACUGGGCGUAAAGAGCUCGUAGGUGGUUUGUCGCGUUGUUCGUGAAAACUCACAACUCAAUUGUGGGCGUGCGGGCGAUACGGGCAGACUGGAGUACUGCAGGGGAGACUGGAAUUCCUGGUGUAGCGGUGGAAUGCGCAGAUAUCAGGAAGAACACCCGUGGCUAAGGCGGCUCUCUAGUACGGUACUGACGCUGAGACGCGAAAGCGUGGGGAGCGAACAGG